ACUCCUACGGGAGGCAGCAGUGGGGAAUAUUGCACAAUGGGCGCAAGCCUGAUGCAGCCAUGCCGCGUGUGUGAAGAAGGCCUUCGGGUUGUAAAGCACUUUCAGUCGUGAGGAAGGUAGUGUAGUUAAUAGCUGCAGUAUUUGUACGUUAGCGACAGAAGAAGCACCGGCUAACUCCGUGCCAGCAGCCGCGGUAAUACGGAGGGUGCGAGCGUUAAUCGGAAUUACUGGGCGUAAAGCGCAUGCAGGUGGUUUGUUAAGUCAGAUGUGAAAGCCCGGGGCUCAACCUCGGAAUAGCAUUUGAAACUGGCAGACUAGAGUACUGUAGAGGGGGUUAGAAUUUCAGGUGUAGCGGUGAAAUGCGUAGAGAUCGUGAAGGUAAUACCGGGUGGCGAAGGCCGGCCCCCGUAGGACGAGAUACUGACACUCAGAUGCGAAA
rnacentral:rRNA from 1 species